rnacentral:siRNA from 1 species
ACACACACACACACACACACACACAUUUCGGUCUUCACAGUUCACAGCACUAAGCUAUGUGCUCAUGCCCCCUUUUCUGCUAUAAAAAGGUCUCGUCCAUGGCCUUCUUCUCCACAGAGCUACUCACAAUAUCUCAUCACACAUUUGCGCCCUAGCUAGCUAGUUUGCAAUGGAGAGCAUCGCCAUUGCUGUUGUCCCAGCUGGCUCCCAGGCUGGUUCGUCUUGGCUGAUGAUGAUGAGGAGGAUGAUGUCCUCCUCCAUGGUCGGGCUGCUUGUGAGCUCGCUGGAGAAGAAGAAGAAGAAGAAGACGCCCAAGCCUAUGGUGCGUUGCCACGACGCGUCGUGCUGCUGAUCUUGGCGAUGGCUCUAUCCUCCCUGAGCUCCCUUUCUUUCCACACGCCCCCCGGCCGCCUGCUGUAGUGCUGUACCUUCGCCGACCACGGCGUCGAUCCUUGGAGCAACUCUCCCUAUGGUCCAAGGAGCGCCUCUUCUUGACCUUGCAAGACUUUCGCUUGCAAGGCGCUUCCCUGCAUAUUGUCCGUGCCAUGCUCAUCUCUACCACCCAUCUCCUCUCUGCCAUUUCUGUCUAUCCCUCCUGAGCUUUGUGGUUCCGAACGAUCGAGUUGUUUUUUUUAUGCGUGAUGAAGGUGUGUGAUCUUGCUUUGAUGUAGGUUAAUUACGUGUUUGUAAUGUGUGCUGAAGGGCUUUCUUCAUUGUAUCGUUGAAACUUCCAAA